AUUGAACGCUGGCGGCAGGCCUAACACAUGCAAGUCGAACGAGUGGCGGACGGGUGAGUAAUGUCUGUGAAACUGCCUGAUGGAGGGGGAUAACUACUGGAAACGGUAGCUAAUCCCGCAUACCAUCAGAUGUGCCCAGAUGUGAUUAGCUUGUGGGUGGGGUAACGGCUAACAAAGGCGACGGUCCCUAGCUGGUCUGAGAGGAUGACCAGCAAACCUGGAACGGAGACACGGUCCAGAUCCCUACGGGAGGCAGAAGUGGGGAAUAUUGCACAAGGGGCGCAAGCCUGACGCAGCAAUGCCGCGUGGAUGAAGAAGGCCUUGGGGUGGUAAAGUACUUUCAGCGGGGAGGCGUUACCCGAAGAAGAAGCAACGGCUAACUCCGUGCCAGCAGCCGCGGUAAUAC
rnacentral:rRNA from 1 species